rnacentral:rRNA from 1 species
UGCCAGCCGCCGCGGUAAUACGGAGAGUGCGAGCGUUGUUCGGAAUCAUUGGGCGUAAAGCGCGUGUAGGCGGCUUGGCAAGUCGGAUGUGAAAUCCCGGGGCCCAACCCCGGAACUGCAUUCGAAACUGCCUCGCUAGAGUCUCGGAGAGGGUGGCGGAAUUCCCGGUGUAGAGGUGAAAUUCGUAGAUAUCGGGAGGAACACCAGUGGCGAAGGCGGCCACCUGGACGAUGACUGACGCUGAGACGCGAAAGCGUGGGGAGCAAACAGGAUUAGAUA